rnacentral:lncRNA from 1 species
CUUAAAAAGCAAACAACUCACCUUGAAAUAUAUGUUACAUUAAAAUCACUCGAUGUUCCAGGACAACUUUCUUGGGUUUUGACUUCGUCCUGAUGCAGUCCCUGCUGGGAAAUUCGUGCUCGUCCCCUGAGGCUCCGAGAUGCAGAGACCUGGGUGGCAGCUGCAGAAAAGAAGGGCAGCGCUGAAAUUCUCGGGAAGCAAGAGUAUAAACAGCGCCAUGUGUUUGGGAAUGAGCAGCUGCUGGAGUUUGCAAUUGCCUUCACUGUGCACUGAAUGCCAGGGUGGGAUGUGCGCGCUUACAUCUACGAGCUGGGCAGGAGCAGGCAGAGAGCACGGCCAUCUGAGAGCAUUUUCUAGCCUGCCCAGGAAAGAGCAGUGUCUUUGGAGUGUGAGGCAAGUCCAUGUUUCUGGGCAAGAUCGGGAUAAGUCCGCUGUGCUGGUAAGCUUUUCCCCUGCGAGACACACUGGCAAAGCUUUUCGCUACGAUGCAGUCCACUCAGGACGCAGACUAGGGCUGUCCGGAGCUGUCCGGAGGGAAGUGCCGCUCCCCCGGCGUCUUUCUGCCGAAGCCGGGCUUCGGAGCCUGCGGCUGCCACUGCCCUCAUCUGUGCACGAAGCAGCCGCUUCUUCGCCUCCGGGAGCCGCAGAGAGCGGUGGCUUGUACAAGGCGAAGAACGAAGCCGGCUUGUGCGCGCAUUCUUCGGCCUGCUAAAGGACAGUGGCUGCAGCUCCCUGCCCCUUCAAUUCACUGCUAGCAUGCUUAUGGCAAGUGUUCCAGGACUACUUUCCUGCGUUUUGACUUCGUCCUGAUGCAGUCCCUGCUGGGAAAUUCCUGCUCGUUCCCUGAGGCUCCGAGAUGCAGAGACCUGGGUGGCAGCUGCAGAAAAGAAGGGCAGCGCUGUAUUUCUUGGGUAGCAAGUGCAUAGUGUUUGGCCAAGAGUGAGCAGCUGCUGCAUUUUGCAAUUGCCUUCACUGUGCACUGAAUGCCAGGGUGGGAUGUGCACGCUUAAAACUACGAGCUGGGCAGGAGCAGGCAGAGAGCACGGCCAUCUGACAGCAGUUUGCAGCUUGCCCUGGAAAGAGUAGUCUUUCUGGAGUGUGCAGCAAGUCCAUGUUUCUGGGCAAGAUCGGGAUAAGUCCGCUGUGCUGGUAAGCUUUUCCCCUGCGAGACACACUGGCAAAGCUUUUCCCUGCAAUGUAGUCCAGUAGGGAGUCGUGGUGAUUUCGCUCCCUUCAGACC